ensembl:lncRNA
AAAAACUUAAGGAGCUUGAAGAACAGCUACCCAAGCCAGUAGACACUCUUAAGAGAAAGAGUAAACCUUCAAUGAAACUCCUAGAGGCCGCAGAUGUGAGAGAGGAACCAGCAGCUAAGAAAAAGGGACAGCUCACAGACCUACCAAAUGAUCUAAAGUUGUGGAAUGAAAGAAAAAUUGAACAUCUACAGCGUGUGAUAAAUCAGCUGAGAGAAGAGAACAUGAAUCUAAAUAAAGAAAAUGAGAGGCUGAAAAAUGAAAUACUUAAAAAAAUCCCACCUCUCCUUCUGGCUACAGAGCACUUACUUCAGGAGCCCAUGAAAUCAAAUGCAGAUGCCCCUGACAUGUUCAUGAUGUCAAAGACUCCAUCUCAUGUUCCCCUCUCACAUGCUCCUAAAGUGCCGAAGGCUCCAUCCAAUGCUUCUCUGUCUGCUAAAUGUUCCAGUGAUGCUAAUUAUGUGGAGUUAGCACAUGGCACGGGCAUAAAAAUCCUAAAGCAUCAAUGGACUUCUGCCCUGCAGGCCCAAACAGCCACUUCAAUGGUGCGUGUUCUUUUAAUGGCCGCCUUCCCACUAGAAGUUCUGAUCCACAGCAAUUUGAAAGGGGGAAAGAGUAAAACUGAUGGUAGUGCAGAGAGAAGACAUGCCCUUGACAAGGAAACCAUGGGAGCCAUAUUUGUGGCAGUCAAGAAGAGGUUUCCCAAUGUGUCCAGAGGAGCUUUGGGUAUUGCAGUGAAUUCCAAGCUGGGGGAACUGAGACUGCUUGAAAAAAAAAGGAGCUAAUUUUGUUAUUGUUUUUUUGUUGUUAUUCUUUAAUUUAUAGCAUGUUCCUUACUUGAUUUUUAUUCAGGUGUGUUAUAUGUUCACAUUUUAGACAGAAAAUAAAG